CAAAAACAUUCAUGUUGACACUUAAUUUCUUCACACACUAAAAAGUGCUGGGUUAUUUGAAAAACUGUAUACAUAUUGUUGGGAUGUUUACGAGUAGGUCAAAUGCCUUUAGACAAUCUAAACUCCUAUUUGUGUUAAUGUGACCCAGUGUAUGGGUCAAAUAUUUUCCUGCUAUUCCAUCUUUCUCAAACUUUCUACAGACAUCUUCUGACUCCUGCGGUUGUAAGAGGUGACUGGACAGAACACAGAGCAAUAGUAGCCAAAGCUUUCGGCAGCUAAGAGACAGAGACCAUCCAGAAAUGGGCUGUAACCUGGAUUUAAUAACAACUACGAGGACACGGGUCGAAAGUGUACAUUACCUCACAUCUCGGUCUCCAGGACCUCAUUGGCACCCACCCCCUCUCUGCAGUGCAAAGGUAGAGCAAACUCAUACACCAGCUUAUACAUAAAAAACAAAGGGCGCAAACUCAACAUUCAGCUGCAGAAAGGUAAGAACCAGAGGCCACAUGGAGUUGGUAAAACUGCUGAAAGCAGCCCAGAAUUACUGCUUUAAAUCAUGAUAGAUCCCUGGCAGUUCAAAGGCAUGUCCUUCGAGGUGCUGGGUUUGAACUGUGAAAGCCCAGCAAUGAUAUAGUAAAUGCACAGUUAACACAAUUUAAUAUGUUAUAAAGCAGCGUCUCUAAGCUUGCUACCUCCCCAAAA